rnacentral:SRP_RNA from 1 species
GCCGGGCGCGGUGGCUCACGCCUGUAAUCCCAGCACUUUGGGAGGCCGAGACGGGCGGAUCACGAGGUCAGAAGAUCGAGACCAUCCUGGCUAACACGGUGAAACCCCGUCUCUACUAAAACUACAAAAAAACUAGCCGGGCGAGGUGGCGGGCGCCUGUAGUCUCAGCUACUCGGGAGGCUGAGGCAGGAGAAUGGCAUGACCNNNNNNNNNNCUACAGACGCCCGCCACCACGCCCGGCCAGUUUUUUUUUUGUAUUUUUUAGUAGAGACGGGGUUUCACCGAGUUAGCCAGGAUGGUUUCGAUCUCCUGACCUCGUGAUCCGCCCGUCUCGG